UUUUUAGGCAGAAGGGAGUAAUUUCAUUACAUUAGGGCAUCCAAUCCAUUACGAGCUCUUACUGUCAUGUCACUGAAACAAUUUCAUUAAGCUAAAGGCCUGUAAAUCAUUGGAGGUCACUGCUCUGCCCUCCGCGACCUCCCAGCAAGCUCCCCCUCCCUCGGCUCCCUUUUACUGGAAGUUACAGUCUUGGCUUUGACACAGCGCUAAAUCUCAAGGCUUUAUCUGCCCAAGAGCGGUGAGGGUGCGUAGGGAAUAUACCAAUUCCAAAUUAGACUCAACUAAUCUAAUUUUAUAGUCUUUUUAUUAUUCUAAGCACCAAAUGUCUGUGGUGGUUUGAUGUCUCCAUGCAUUGUUACGUGGCCCAUCUGGUAGGUCAUUCUAUGGGAACAUUUUCUGAAUAAAUACAGAUUCCCUCAAACUGCACUAACCAUCAUCAACAUUAAGGAAAUUCAUCGAUGGAAGUGUUUGUAAUGGAGGACUAAAAGGCAUAUCAUUAUUGCCUAAAAGACGCACCACUUACAUUUAAAUUGGGGAGAAUUAAAUGCACCUAUUUUAGGAUUCCUUUUUAAUUUCUCUUUCCCCAUCCUAAGUGUAGGGAAAUAAUGCCCUUCUCAAAGAUGCCUUGACUAAUACACAUGCCAGUUAAGGACUGAGGGAUUUUAGUUGAGAAGUAAUAUACAGACAUCAGGUUUUUUUCUGAGCCAAAAAUGUAUACUAUUUGAUAAGUAGCAAAUUGGGGCGUUUAUCAUAACCACACCCGAACUUAUAUAUAAUUCAUCUCACUCCCCAAACGGCAAUGGACAGAAAAGAAUCUUGUACACAAAAAUGACAACCAGCAACCAACAAUCUACUGUCCUCUGCAGAGGACACCACAGUUGGGGCAGGCUGACAGUGUGGCUGUUCUUAAUUCUCUUCAUGGAGAUUCACUGGAAAUGAAAAACUGAGCCUCUUCAGUUCAGACAUUUUUACGAAGCCUGCGUCAAUCCUUAAAAGAGGUGCAAGUUAGAAAAAGCUGGUCCACAGCACUAACCCCACCCAACCCCCCAGCAACAGCCAUAAAAAGCAAGGAAAAAAGAGUAAGGAAACCCCAAGCCUUCAAUGUCACACACGAGUUCCCAUGAGAACUACCUGGGAUAUAGAAAUCUCUAGAAACAGGCUUUGGUAUUUGGAAGAAGAAUAGAAUCAUCAACUAGAAUUCCCUGUGCACAUGCCAGGUCUGCACACCAGGGUUUAUCCCGCUGUUGGGGGCCGGGGGGUGUCCCAGCAUCUCUUCAAAUGGUUGGUGAAACUUAGCCUAAAGGCACUGUCACUCCAGGACCCCCAAACAGCAGCAGCAGCAGCAGCAGCAGCAGCAGCAGCAGCAGCAGCGGCAGCAGCAGCAGAAAGCUACAGACCUCCGGCCAGUCAGCUAGUUGCUGCAGCCACCCUGUGCGAAGUGAACAAAGCAGCGGCGGAGACUGGGUGUCCUCUGGACUUACACCACUGGCUGUUUUCUGAACAAAACUACCUUCACAAAAUGUACAAAAUCAGCAAAGGACAUCUGUACAAAAUUCACAAGGAAAGCCUUAAUAGGAAGCCAAACAAGUCCGUGUCCACGGGAUCUAGCGGUUAAUUAACCUAGAGUAGUCACAGAAAUUCAGACUGCAUUAGG